GAUGGAGGCAAAUUUGUUCUCUUAGCUCACAGCCUUCAGCUUCUUGUUCAUAAUGUUGUUUGCUUUGUAGGUGCUAUUUUGGAGCAGUGCAGCAACUUGAACUCCAAACUGAAAAAGUGACUCGGAGCAUAGAGCGACUUUCCUGCUUGUCCCUGCAUGCAAACUCAAGGAAAAUCCCACUGGAUUUAAGAAGAUUCCAACAAGACAUAAAACUUUCCCAAAAAUAAUAAAUGCCAAUGGUGGUUUGGAGAUGGAAAUAGAAAUGAAAGGAGAGAAAGGAAUAUUCCAAAGUAAAAGGAAACUUGGAGUUGCAUCAGGAGAGUAGUGUGGUCUUUGUCUGAUUGAUGAAAACAAGAAAAAG